rnacentral:rRNA from 1 species
GACGAACGCUGGCGGCGUGGAUUAGGCAUGCAAGUCGAACGGUAUCAUCCUUUCGGGGGUGAGAGAGUGGGCGAACUGGUGAGUAACACGUAGGUUAUCUACCCUCAAGACGGGGACAACCCAGGGAAACUUGGGCUAAUACCGGAUGUGAGCAACUUUUAGUUGUUUGAAAGGUGGCGUAAGCUGUCGCUUGGGGAUGAGCCUGCGUCCUAUUAGUUAGUUGGUGAGGUAACGGCUCACCUAGGCAAUGAUAGGUAGGCGGCCUUAACGGGUGGUCGCCCACACUGGGAUUGAGAUACGGCCCAGACUCCUACGGGAGGCAGCAGUCGAGAAUAGUCUACAAUGGUCGGAAGACUGAUAGUGCGACGCCGCGUGAACGAUGAAUCCCUUCGGGGUGUAAAGUUCUUUUAUAUGUGAGCAGUGCUUCUUAUAUUAACAGUAUGGGGAGAGAGAUAUUAGCAUAUGAAUAAGCAACGGCUAACUCCGUGCCCAGCAGCCGCGGU